rnacentral:lncRNA from 1 species
CUUGAUGCAUGCAUCGCUGCAUUUUGACUCAAGAAUAUUGGUGUUGAUCUCACUCCUUCACAAAGUUACUACAAGAGUUCUUGGAAAUUUUCAACCAUACCUCAUCCUUUCGACAACUCUUUGUUUUUCCCAUCUGAGAAUCACUAUCAAAGAUAUUUUGAUUCAAUUUUUAGCUCUGAAUUCCUAAACAAAAAUUGCUCAAAAUACCAAUCCCAAAAACCCCGAA